rnacentral:rRNA from 1 species
GCAUAUCAAUAAGCGGAGGAAAAGAAACCAACAGGGAUUGCCCUAGUAACGGCGAGUGAAGCGGCAACAGCUCAAAUUUGAAAUCUGGCUUCGGCCCGAGUUGUAAUUUGUAGAGGAAGCUUUAGGCGCGGCACCUUCUGAGUCCCCUGGAACGGGGCGCCACAGAGGGUGAGAGCCCCGUAUAGUUGGAUGCCUAGCCUGUGUAAAGCUCCUUCGACGAGUCGAGUAGUUUGGGAAUGCUGCUCAAAAUGGGAGGUAAAUUUCUUCUAAAGCUAAAUACCGGCCAGAGACCGAUAGCGCACAAGUAGAGUGAUCGAAAGAUGAAAAGCACUUUGAAAAGAGGGUUAAAUAGCACGUGAAAUUGUUGAAAGGGAAGCGCUUGUGACCAGACUUGCGCCGGGCGGAUCAUCCGGUGUUCUCACCGGUGCACUCCGCCCGGCUCAGGCCAGCAUCGGUUCUCGCGGGGGGAUAAAGGCCCCGGGAACGUAGCUCCUCCGGGAGUGUUAUAGCCCGGGGCGUAAUGCCCUCGCGGGGACCGAGGACCGCGCAUCUGCAAGGAUG